AUCAGUACAUCAGUCUGCAACCCGUGCGAGCAUCCCACGCAGACCCUAGACAGAUGCGACCCGGACCCUGGGGCAUGACCGCGGCCUCUGUACAUUAUAGGGUCGAGUUGUGAGUCAAGUCCGUCCGGCGCUCCACAACACAAAUAAACAUUUAUGGAGACUAGACACUAUGAAACUGCCUCUGCUGCUGCCCCAGGAUCGUGAAGCUGAUAUUGAUCCAGACUAACAGUGACAUUUUGAGGGGUAGGGAGACGUCGUGCAGUAGGUGCUUGGGGGGACCUCAGUGUUUUUCGUGGAGUUAAUUUGAGGUAUAAGUCGGACGUAGCCUAGAUACAGGUCCUAUUAUUUAGAAGGGUCUCCCUAAACAUUCUCCUGCUAUAGCUUGGGCUAUAUGCGGUCUCUGCAAGGUGCAAAUUAUGUCCAAGGAUAAUAGCUAAGAGUGCCUUCAUUAGGGAAUGCAUAACUGAAUGUUAUUGCCAAGCCUUGGUAGUAUUUUAUCCCUCUACAAUAUUGAUGUCACUAUCAUGACCGGACAUUGUGACAAAUGGUGUGAUCUCAAAACGAGUCAUAUGUUGCCGAUCUAUGUCCUCGUGUGAAGUGAGGACCCAUCAAUCAAUCUUUCACCUUUUGAGAGGACAACCCUUCAUGUUCGGCAUGACGUCAUUGGUGACAGCUGGAACUGUCUUGACACGGGUGGUCUACACCCAUCCAUCAAAGUUACUGCAACGAGAUUGAUGGCCCAUCAGAACUAUAAUGAAGAGUUUAUGUAGCUUGUCAUAUAGAGUGAAUUGGGAUUUAGAAAAUGUAAUUUAUUUAAUAAGUUUACUUGAAUUUCAAUCAAAGAUCCAACAUUACUUUAUUUAUCACACUGUAAAACACUUCUGGAAAAAUACGCAAAAUACGUCAAAAUAUGCAAAAAUACGAAUGUUUCAGCACUGGCUACAAUGAACAGCUCCGUUGCAAUACAAGACAUCGGAGCUGGCCAACUGCUGAACCAAAUAGGCCUUUUAAGGGUACUUUAGUUCCAUCUCCAGAAUAAUAAAUGCCCAAGUGCCAGCCUGUUGCUCAAGCAUCGUGGCCAGACAGAACACGUACUGUGCUAGCUGCACAAACAAGGAGUUGUUAGAGCUAACCACCGUUUCGAAGUCGACCACACUUAUCGCUGUGUCCCUAUGUAGGCUGCAGUGACGUGUAUUCAUGGAUGCCAAGGAAAGCCAUGCUUCCACCCAAAAAUGACGAACCCCCCCCCAAAAAAAAAACGUAUCUUUCGUCUCACUGCGUUUCAUAAUUUCCCUUCAAUUCGCAAGAGGCUGAAUGUAUCUCACCUGAGAAAGCAUCUGUCUCUGCAUGUGUAGGCCACAUAUCUGAUGCUGUCUGGUCAAAAUAAGUAUGGCAUUGAAUGCAAUGGAAGCCUACGGGCAUCUGGCCUCACUUUAUAAAAAAGUAUCAAAUAAUAGCUAAAAUGAGUGAGCUCAACUCUAUAAACACUCCUGGCACACCAAAAUAGUGUCAAGGGAAGACAGUUUGGAUUUGGCUUUACUCCAAUCACAUCAAGAGCCAAACAUCAUUGACAGAAACAACUUGAAUUGUGGCACCUUGUUGUGUUGUUGUCCUCCAGUGGAUAGCUAGCUAGCUAAAAUAGGCUAUUUCCUAAAUUAGCCAUGGAUGGAGAUAUGGAUUUGGACUUGUAGUUUUACUUCAUUCUCCGUACUGGCCAAUGAUUAUAAUGGCAAUUCUGGUCCAACCAUAAAUUCAUACAUUGUGCCCCUGGCCUGGUAGGAUGGAAGUUCAAUAUGUAGCAAAAUGUAGAAGGCUGAUGUUAACUAGCUGGCUCAACUUGUACUGUAUGACAGAGUCAUAGACCGUUUCGUCAACAUGAAAGAGAGGAGGAUGGCAUUGAAGUUUCUCUACAAGUAGUGUGAGUCAACAUGUUUUUUUCUACUUGCACGAACGAACGCACACACACACACGCACACGCACACACAGAGAGAAAUCAUAACCAUGGACAGCCACAUAUUUACACUGAACAAAAAUAUAAACACAACAUGUAAAGUGUUGGUCCCAUGUUUCAUGAGCUGAAAUAAAAGAUCCCAGAAAUGUUCCAUAUGCACAAAAAGCUUAUUUCUCUCAAAUCUUGCACUGAAAUUUAUUUACAUCCCUGUUAGUGAGCAUUUCUCCUUUGUCAAGAUAAUCCAUCCACCUGACAGGAGUGGCAUAUCAAGAAGCACUCUAAAAUGUGCUGUUUUGUCACACAACACAAUGCAACAGAUGUCACAAAUUUUGAGGGAACGUACAAUUGGCAUGCUGACUGCAGGAAUGUCCACCAGAGCUGUUGCCAGAUAAUUGAAUCUUCAUUUCUCUACCAUAAGUCACCUCCAACAGUUUGUUUAGAGAAUUUGGCAGUACAUCCAACCGGCUUCACAACUGCAGACCACGGGUAACCACGCCAGCCCAGGACCUCCACAUCCGGCUUCUUCACCUGCGGGAUCAUCUGAGACCAGCCACCGGGACAGCUGGUCUUGACCUGACUGCAGUUCCACAUCGUAACCGACUUCAGUAGGCAAAUGCUCACCUUCAAUGGCCACUGGCACGCUGGAGAAGUGUGCUCUUCAUGGAUGAAUCCCAGUAUCAACUGUACCAGGCAGAUGGCAAACAUGGUGUAUGGUGUCAAGUGGGCGAGCGGUUUGCUGAUGGUGAUGUGACCAGAGUGCCCCCCCCCAAAAAACUCUAUGUGAAAAUGUCGCGCUGCAUGAGACAAAUGUUGAUCACACGAGAUACUUACUUCUUUUUUAUAAAAGUAUCUGUUUGCCCAGUCAUGUGAAAUCCGUAGAUUAGUGCCUAAUUCAUUUAUUUCAAUUGACCGAUUUCCCUAUAUGAACCAGUAAAAUCUUUGAAAUUGUUGCACGUUGUGUUUAUAUUUUUGAUCAGCGUAGCUUACGUCGAUUGGACUAAAUAGUUUUCGGUAUCUUUUAGUUGUCACUGUAUUAGACUAAAUGAUUUGGCCCGGGUAUCCUGGAAGGAUAUCGACCUCAUCCCGUCAGUAGAGGAUGCCUGGUUAUUUUUUUUAAAUGCCUUCCUCACCAUCUUAAAUAAGCAUGCCCCAUUCAAGAAAUGUAGAACCAGGAACAGAUAUAGCCCUUGGUUCUCUCCAGACCUGACUGCCCUUAACCAACACAAAAACAUCCUGUGGCAUUCUGCAUUAGCAUCGAAUAGCCCCUGUGAAAUGCACUUUUUCAGGGAAGUUAGAAACCAAUAUACACAGGCAGUUAGAAAAGCCAAGGCUAGCUUUUUCAAGCAGAAAUUUGCUUCCUGCAACACAAACUCAAAAAAGUUCUGGGACAUUGUAAAGUCCAUGGAGAAUAAGAGCACCUCCUCCCAGCUGCCCACUGCACUGAGGAUAGGAAACUCUGUCACCACCAAUAAAUCCACUAUAAUUGAGAAUUUCAAUAAGCAUUUUACUACGGCUGGCCAUGCUUUCCACCUGGCCACCCCUACCGCGGUCAACAGCACUGCACCCCCCACAGCAACUCGCCCAAGCCUUCCCCAUUUCUCCGACCAUUUCGAAUCCCACCGUACCUUCUCCGCUAUGCAAUCUGGUUUCAGAUCUGGUCAUGGGUGCACCUCAGCCAUGCUCAAGGUCCUAAACGAUAUCUUAACCGCCAUCGAUAAGAAACAGUACUGUGCAGCCGUAUUCGUUGACCUGGCCAAGGCUUUCGACUCUGUCAAUCACCACAUCCUCAUCAACAGACUCAACAGCCUUGGUUUCUCAAAUGAUUGCCUCGACUGGUUCACCAACUACUUCUCCGACAGAGUUCAGUGUGUCAAAUCUGAGAGGCCUGUUGUCCGGGCCUCUGGCAGUCUCUAUGGGGGUGCCACAGGGUUCAAUUCUUGGGCCGACUCUCUUCUCUGUAUAUAUCAAUGAUGUCGCUCUUGCUGAUGGUGAGUCUCUGAUCCACCUCUACGCAGACGACACCAUUCUGUAUACAUCUGGCCCUUCUUUGGACACUGUAUUAACAACCCUCCAGACGAGCUUCAAUGCCAUACAACUCUCCUUCCGUGGCCUCCAACUGCUCUUAUAUACAAGUAAAACUAAAUGCAUGCUCUUCAACCGAUCGCUGCCUGCACCUGCCCGCUCGUCCAGCAUCACUACUGUGGACGGUUCUGACUUAGAAUAUGUGGACAACUACAAAUACCUAGGUGUCUGGUUAGACUGUAAACUCUCCUUCCAGACUCACAUAAAACAUCUCCAAUCCAAAGUUAAAUCUAGAAUUGGCUUCCUAUUUCGCAACAAAGC
rnacentral:lncRNA from 1 species